rnacentral:rRNA from 1 species
AGCCAUGCAUGUCUAAGUAUAAAUAGUAUACAGUGAAACUGCGAAUGGCUCAUUAAAACAGUUAUAGUUUAUUUGAUAAUUGAAUACUACAUGGAUAACCGUGGUAAUUCUAGAGCUAAUACAUGCGUUAAAACCCGACUUUUUGGAAGGGUUGUAUUUAUUAGAUACCAAGCCAAUAUUCCUUCGGGUCUAUUGUGAUGAUUCAUAAUAACUGAUCGAAGCAGGGCCUGCCCUGCUAAAUCAUUCAAGUUUCUGCCCUAUCAGCUUUCGAUGGUAGUGUAUUGGACUACCAUGGCAGUCACGGGUAACGGGGAAUUAGGGUUCGAUUCCGGAGAGGGAGCCUGAGAAACGGCUACCACUUCUAAGGAAGGCAGCAGGCGCGUAAAUUACCCAAUCCUGACUCAGGGAGGUAGUGACAAGAAAUAACAACUCGGGGACUUCACGUCUUACGAGAUUGCAAUGAGAACAAUUUAAAACACUUAACGAGGAACAAUUGGAGGGCAAGUCUGGUGCCAGCAGCCGCGGUAAUUCCAGCUCCAAUAGCGUAUAUUAAAGUUGUUGCAGUUAAAAAGCUCGUAGUUGAAUUUAUGGCGAUUGUAUAAGCUGGCUUCGGUCGUUUAUAUGGUCGUCAUCCGCUUGGGAACCCCAUUCGGUCUUCAUUGGUCGGUGGGAGGAUCAGGCAUUUUACUUUGAAAAAAUAAGAGUGUUCAAGGCAGGCAAUCGCCAUGAAUACACAAGCAUGGAAUAAUGGAAUAGGACUGUGAUCCAUUUUAUUGGUUAUUGGAUUACAGUAAUGAUUAAUAGGGACAGUUGGGGGCAUUAGUAUUUAAUUGUCAG